AACGAACGCUGGCGGCAUGCCUAACACAUGCAAGUCGAACGAGACCUUCGGGUCUAGUGGCGCACGGGUGCGUAACGCGUGGGAACCUGUCCUUAGGUUCGGAAUAACUCCCCGAAAGGGGUGCUAAUACCGGAUAAUGUCUUCGGACCAAAGAUUUAUCGCCUUUGGAUGGGCCCGCGUUGGAUUAGCUAGUUGGUAGGGUAAAAGCCUACCAAGGCGACGAUCCAUAGCUGGUCUGAGAGGAUGAUCAGCCACACUGGGACUGAGACACGGCCCAGACUCCUACGGGAGGCAGCAGUGGGGAAUAUUGGACAAUGGGCGAAAGCCUGAUCCAGCAAUGCCGCGUGAGUGAUGAAGGCCUUAGGGUUGUAAAGCUCUUUUACCCGGGAUGAUAAUGACAGUACCGGGAGAAUAAGCUCCGACUAACUCCGUG
rnacentral:rRNA from 1 species